AUGGCCUGAACCAAGCAGACAGGGCAUGUAAGUCCACCGGUGGGAAAGCACCCCCCUCCCCCAAACAGCUGGCCACCAAGGCUGCCAGGAAAAGCCCUCCCUCUACCGGCAGGGUGAAGAAACCUCAUCGCUACAGGCCCGGGACUGUGGCUCUUGGAGAGAUUCCUUGACUGAGCUUCUCAUCUGGAAAUUGCCUUUCCAGAGAUUGGUGAGAGAGAUCGCCCAGGAUUUCAAAAGCGAUUUGAGGUUUCAGAGUGCAGCCAUUGGUGCCCUUCAGGAGGCUAGUGAAGCGUACCUGGUGGGUUUAUUUGAAAAUACUAAUGUGUGUGCCAUCCACGCUAAGAGAGUCACCAUCAUGCCCAAAGACAUCCAGUUGGCUCCCCUGAAGGGGGAGGUGGGGAGAAACUUAAGUGAAGGCAGUUUUUAUGGCGUUUUGUAG